rnacentral:lncRNA from 1 species
AUCGGGGAGAUGUAUACAUAAGGUUCACUUAUUUUCUAUUUUUGUGUAUUUUUCAGAUUUCCUAUAACAAAAAAAUAAAGCAUCUUUUUUUGAAACUGAGUCAACUAUUUGGUUGCAUUUGGAAGAAGUAGCUAAAUGAACCUAUGAUAUCUCACUUUCAAGACAUCAAGAAAGACUCAAGGAUUUUUUGUUACUGAAGGUUUCUUUGGUUCCUACUUUUUUUUCAGUGACUUCUACAACUUUAUUUUUCAUCAUCAUCUGAGUUUUAUUUUCAGAACAGCUGAACUGAAUUUUUAUAAAUUUCCACUUCAGAAACACAGGCAGUUUUAAGAAAUGGAUGGGAACCAGCAAACGUUCUCAAUGGUAGUAUAUACUAAGGGAAAAGAGAAAAUACUGGAAUUGCACUUGACCACUUUUGGAUUUCACUGUGUAAUGAAUUUGUUCUGCAUUAGGACUUUAAAAAACAACCUUGCAAGUUACACAGAACCAAGAGGACAACUUAUGGAGGACAUGCCUGUCUCCCAGAAAGUCUGAAGGUUUAUUUUGCCAUCUUUUAAGUCAAAGGAAGUCUGGAAGGAUUGUGAAAUAGAUACUCACAGGCAAAAUUUAAAUAUUCUGAUGUGCUGAUGAGAACACCCUUUUCUUAUUGCAUUACAUGAGAACCAAUCAGGUGGCCUAGACCUAGGUCAUGCAUGGAGGCCAACAGAUUUGUGGGUUGGUAAGUUGCUUAUGGCUUCUCUUCCUGAAACCUGGAAAAUGUUGCAGAACCAUCAGAGGUCUUAUUACUGAAAUUCUGUGUAUAGUCAAUGCCUAUUCAUCGAAAAUUGAAUUAACUAAAAAUUUCAAGUAAAGAGUUGUUUUUUUCUCCUCUUUAUAUGUGCUAACUCAUCUUUAUAAUAAAAACCACUGAGAAUUGUAAAAUCCUGUAUUUCAUUUUAAAACAAAACAAAGUAAUUAUAUUCCAUUCCAUUCACUAUUAUUUUACUGCCUUUUAAAACUAAACUUGUAAUUUUGAGAUAAUUGUAGAUUUAUGUACACAUGUGAGAAAUAAUUUGGAGAAAUCCCUUGUACAAUUUCCCAGUUCCACCCAAUGUUAACAUCUUGCAAAACUAUCACAUAAUAUGACAAACAGGAUAUUGAGAUGGAUAGAGUAUAGGUCUCUUCCUGGAUUUUCUUCUUUUCCAUUGAUCUAUCCAUCUUUUCCUCCACCAAUACCCAAUUGCCUUGAUUACUGUCAUUAUACAAAUGGCCCUAAUAUCAGGAAGAGUGAUGUCUCAUACUUUAUUCUUCUUUUUUAAGAUCGUUUAGGUAUUCUAGGGCGUUGUUUUCAUGUAUUUCAUUAUAACACAUUUCUUCUAUAAAUUGGAAAUUAAGGUAUACUACAUAGGGCAACUCCUAUUCACCAGUAUAUGAAGUUAGUUAUUAAUAUAUCAUUCAUUAAAAUUCUGAAUAAGCAAGAAUUUACUUUUAGUCCCGGCUUGAAGGUAAAGUUACCACAAAAUAGAUUAUAAAAGUAAAGUUGUGGAAUCUUCUCUAUAGGCAUUUAAAAGCCAUCUAUUUGGGGCAUCUGGGUAACUCACUUGGUCGAGCAUUAGAUGCUUGGUUUCAACUCAGGUCAUGAUUUCAGGAUUGUGAGAGGAUGCCCUGCCCUCAGUGAGGAGUCCACUUGAGAGUCUCCCACUCCUCUGCCCCUCCCCUGCUCUCUCUUAUUUAAAGAUUUAAAUAAAUUUUUAAAAGAAAACAAAACAUCUGCUAUUCCAGGGUGCCUGGCUGUCUCGGUCAGUAGAGUAUGUGACUCUUUCUUCUUUUUUUUCCCUUUGGAGCUGGGGGAGGGACAGAGAGAAUCUUUAGCAGGCUCCCCACCCAGUGCAUGUCUACCAGGGCCUCAAUCUCACAGCCCUGAGAUCAUGACCUGAGCCAAAAUGAAGAAGAGUGAAGAAUCGAACCCUUAACUGAGUGAGCCAUCCAGGCACCCCGAGCAUGCAACUCUUGGUCUCAGGGUUGUAAGUUCAAGCACCAUGUUGGUUGUAGAGAUUACUUUAAAAAAAAAAAAAUAUUAAAAAAGGUAUUUUAAAAAUGAAAAAAAAUCUAUUCCUAUCUAUAUGGAUAUGUUAUGAAUAUUUCAGUUGUAAUAAUUCUAAUAUAUUCGUUCUUGAAAAUAAUUUCAAAUGCUAGAAGUUCUAACGUGUUAAGCAAAUAGGGUGUUCUGUAAAAUAUUCUGUUUCAUUGACCUUUAGUUAUAUUUACCUACCUAUAACCUUUAUAAGGCAAUAAAUAAUUGUAAGCACAGGACGUGAACAAAUCCCCAAACCAGCUUGUUGAAAUGCAACUUUGUCUCCAAAGAUUCUGCUGUGCCAUUUACCUUUGGAGAGGAAAGGAGAAAAAGACAAACAAAAGCUCCAGCAAAUUGACCCUCAGAAAUUAAAUGGACUUAAGUGUGGCAGAUAUAUUUUUAGUUACCGGAAUGGAUAUUCUCACCAACAGUGUGCUCUCAUAAUUGCCCAUUAACAAAUGGAUCAGGAUACAUGAGAUAAAUCUGCAAACUAUUGAAUACACUCAAGAAUUUUUGAAUUACUUUUUGAAUUACUUUUUGAAUUACAAAAGCAAUCAUAUUGUAAAAUUUUAUACAGCUCUCUCUAGUCUAUGAUAUUCCUAAUUUCUUUUUAAAGUAGAAGUUUUUAUUUUCAUCUAGACAAUUAAGGUAUUUGUACUAUCUUUAAACAAUAUAACAGGCUUUUAAAAAGGCACUAUUUCAUUACUGAAAAAUGAAGCUUAACCUUAUCAGAAAUCACUGCAGCAUAUAAGAAAAAGAAACUAUUAAAAAAUAAAAAUCAUAUUCAUAUCACAUAUCACAAAUCAUAUCACAAUCAUAUGUAAUGCUUUUCUAGUUAGCUUAUGAAGUCUUUAAACAAGAAGAGCUUUUUUUUUUUUUUAAGAUUUUAUUUGUUUAUUUGACAGAAAGAGAAAAAGUGCAGAAGCAGGGGUAACAGCAGAGGCAGAGGGAGAAGCAGGCUCUCCACUGAGCACGGAGCCUGAUGCAGGGCUCGAUCCCAGGACUCUGGGGUCAUGACCCCAUCAGAAGACAGACACUUCAACAACUGAACCCUCCAGGCACCCUGAGAGAAGAGCUUUUUUUUAAAAAAAAAAUUGCAUUUUCAAUAAAUUUAUUGAGAUAUAUCUGAUACAAAAACUAUACAUAUUUAAAGUGUAUGAAAACAUGUCCAAGUUUUGAAAAGUGCAUACACCUUUGAAACCACACCAUGAUUAAGGUACUAAGCAUAUUUAUUAUGUCCAAAGUUUUCUUGAGUCUUUUCCUAAUCCUUCCUACCUCCCCUACCCUAGUCUAGGUAACGACUGGUCUGCUUUUUGUCACUAUAUAUUAGUUUGCAUUUUCUACAAUUUUAUAUAAAUGGAAUUAUAUGGCAUGUAUUUGGUUUUCUCUUGGAUGUUUUCAAUCAGCAUAAUUAUUCUGAUAUUUAUCCAUGUAUGUUGGAUGUUGCAUGGAUAUACCAUAACUUGCUUAUCCAAUCACUCAUUGAAAGACAUUUGGUUGUUUCCAAUUUGGGGCUAUUGUAGAUAAAACUUCUAUGAAUUCUUGUAUUCAAGUCUUUUUGUGUAUGUCUAUUUUCAUUUCUCUCAGGUAAAUACCUAGGAGUGGAACGGCUAAAUCAUGCAGUAGGUGUGUAUUUAAUUUUUUAAGAUGCUGUCCAGCUGGGGCACCUGGGUGGCUCAGUGGGUUAAAUCCUCUAUCUUUGGCUCAGGUCAUGAUCACAGGGUCCUGAGAUGGAGCCCCGCAUUGGGCUUUCUGCUCAGCGGGGAGCCUGCUUCCUCCUCUCUCUCUCUGCCUGCCUCUGUGCCUGCUUGUGAUCUCUCUUUCUCUGUGUCAAAUAAAUAAAUAAAAUCUUAAAAAAAAGAAAAAAAAAGAACCUGUCCAGCUUUUUUUCCCAAAGGGCUGAAACACUUCUAUUUCUACCUGCAGUUCCACAACCGUGUUAAUACUUGAUAUGGUCUGUUAUUUUAA